AGUGAUUCUUGGUCAUUUAGAGGAAGUAAAAGUCGUAACAAGGUUUCCGUAGGUGAACCUGCGGAAGGAUCAUUAUCGAGGAAGGGUCUUCUAGGCCCGAUCUCCAACCCUUGUGGCUAAAAUACCAUGUUGCUUUGGCUGGCCCGCCCCCUGUGGGCCGCGGGGGAUCAUUGAUCCCUAGCCUGUGCCUGCCAAUAGCCUUCUAAAACUCUUCUAAAUAGUGUUGUCUGAGGAUAGAUUAAAUUAUUAAAACUUUCAACAACGGAUCUCUUGGUUCUGGCAUCGAUGAAGAACGCAGCGAAAUGUGAUAAGUAAUGCGAAUUGCAGAAUUCAGUGAGUCAUCGAAUCUUUGAACGCAUAUUGCGCCCUUUAGUAUUCUGAAGGGCAUGCCUGUCCGAGCGUCAUUAUCAACCAUCAAGCUUGGCUUGCUGUUGGACCCUGUGCAUGCUGGUAGUCGGCAAUAGCAGGUCUUCAAGGUAGUGGCGGUGUCGUGGUGGACCCCGGAUACAACGAGCUCUUUAUAGCACGUAUCAAGGUGGCCCCCGGUCCAGCCUCACUGGAAUCUCAUAUCUAAAGGUUGACCUCGGAUCAGGUAGGAGUACCCGCUGAACUUAAGCAUAUCAAUAAGCGGAGGA
rnacentral:rRNA from 1 species